rnacentral:rRNA from 1 species
GACAGAGGGUGCAAACGUUGCUCGGAAUUACUGGGCGUAAAGCGCGUGUAGGUGGAUUGGUGUGUCAGAUGUGAAAUCCCUGGGCUCAACCCAGGAGCUGCACCUGAAACUACCAGUCUUGAGUGGUGGAGAGGGAAGUGGAAUUCCUGGUGUAGAGGUGAAAUUCGUAGAUAUCAGGAGGAACACCAGUGGCGAAGGCGGCUUCCUGGACACCAACUGACGCUGAGACGCGAAAGCGUGGGGAGCAAACAGG